AGCGAACGCUGGCGGCAGGCCUAACACAUGCAAGUCGAACGAUCCUUCGGGAUAGUGGCGGACGGGUGAGUAACACGUGGGAACGUGCCUUUUGGUUCGGAAUAACGCAGGGAAACUUGCGCUAAUACCGGAUGAGCCCUACGGGGGAAAGAUUUAUCGCCGAAAGAGCGGCCCGCGUUAGAUUAGCUAGUUGGUGGGGUAAAGGCCCACCAAGGCUCCGAUCUAUAGCUGGUCUGAGAGGAUGAUCAGCCACACUGGGACUGAGACACGGCCCAGACUCCUACGGGAGGCAGCAGUGGGGAAUCUUGCGCAAUGGGCGAAAGCCUGACGCAGCCAUGCCGCGUGAAUGAUGAAGGUCUUAGGAUUGUAAAAUUCUUUUAGCAGG
rnacentral:rRNA from 1 species